rnacentral:rRNA from 1 species
GCUAAACGCGAAGAACCUUACCUAGGCUUGACAUAUAGUAGACAGCACUAGAGAUGGAGCCUUCCUUCGGGACUGCUAAACAGGUGCUGCAUGGCUGUCGUCAGCUCGUGCCGUGAGGUGUUGGGUUAAGUCCCGCAACGAGCGCAACCCUUGUCAUUAGUUGCCAACAGUUGAAGCUGGGAACUCUAAUGAGACUGCCUGGGUUAACCAGGAGGAAGGUGAGGAUGACGUCAAGUCAGCAUGGCCCUUAUGCCUAGGGCUACACACGUGCUACAAUGGCCGGUACAGAGGGCAGCCAACCCGCGAGGGGAGCAAAUCCCAAAAAACCGGCCCCAGUUCAGAUUGUAGUCUGCAACUCGACUGCAUGAAGUUGGAAUUGCUAGUAAUGGCGUGUCAGCUAUAACGCCGUGAAUACGUUCCCGGGUCUUGUACACACCG